UACGGAGGGUGCGAGCGUUGUCCGGAAUCAUUGGGCGUAAAGGGCGCGUAGGUGGCCUGCUAAGCGUGCGGUGAAAGCUCGGGGCUCAACCCCGAGUCGGCCGUGCGAACUGCUGGGCUGGAGCACUGUAGAGGCAGGCGGAAUUCCGGGUGUAGCGGUGGAAUGCGUAGAGAUCCGGAAGAACACCGGUGGCGAAGGCGGCCUGCUGGGCAGUUGCUGACACUGAGGCGCGACAGCGUGGGGAGCAAACAGGAUUGAGA
rnacentral:rRNA from 1 species